AACGUAGGAGGCAAGCGUUAUCCGGAUUUACUGGGCGUAAAGGGCGUGCAGGUGGUGGUCUAAGUGGUGCGUGAAAGCGCUCGGCUCAACCGGGCGAGGGCGUGCCAAACUGGGUCACUAGAAACAGGCAGAGGAAAGUGGAAUUCGGGGUGUAGUGGUGAAAUGCGUAGAGAUCCCGAGGAACUCCUGUGGCGAAGGCGGGUUGCUGGGCUGACACUGACGCUGAGGCGCGAAAGCUAGGGGAGCGAACGGG
rnacentral:rRNA from 1 species